CUCUAGUCAAGGGAGGGAAACUUUAUUCAGGCCCCAAGGCUGCAGGCGUUGGGCAGGUGGUGCCCUUCUGGAUGAGGGGUUGGCAGAUCAGAAGAG